UACGUAGGGUGCGAGCGUUGUCCGGAAUUAUUGGGCGUAAAGGGCUCGUAGGCGGUUUGUCGCGUCGGGAGUGAAAACUCAGGGCUUAACCCUGAGCCUGCUUCCGAUACGGGCAGACUAGAGGUAUGCAGGGGAGAGUGGAAUUCCUGGUGUAGCGGUGAAAUGCGCAGAUAUCAGGAGGAACACCGGUGGCGAAGGCGGGUCUCUGGGCCGAUGACUGACGCUGGAGGAAGCGAA
rnacentral:rRNA from 1 species